UCACUAAUCAAGCCCGGCUUGUUGUUGGACCUCUUUGUCGUCAAAGACAGGCCCUAAAGAUAAUGACGGCGUCAAUUGGACCCUAGAUGCAACGAGCUUUAACUAGCACGCAUUUUAGUUGGCUCUCUUGACCCGGUCUUUUUAACCAAUUUUUCA
rnacentral:misc_RNA from 1 species